UUCGUUCCAUCUGAUUGAAUCAGACACGUUCAGCGACGAAGAACAUAAAGCCGAUAAACCAAAAUCAAGAAUACUAAUAACGAUUGUUACCUCAGCAGCAAGAACCUCUUGAUCUUGAAUCAUAUAAGCUAUAACAGAAACAA
rnacentral:tRNA from 1 species